rnacentral:rRNA from 1 species
CCUACGGGGGGCUGCAGUGAGGAAUAUUGGUCAAUGGACGAGAGUCUGAACCAGCCAAGUAGCGUGAAGGAUGACUGCCCUAUGGGUUGUAAACUUCUUUUAUAAAGGAAUAAAACGAGGCACGUGUGCCUUUUUGCAUGUACUUUAUGAAUAAGGAUCGGCUAACUCCGUGCCAGCAGCCGCGGUAAUACGGAGGAUCCGAGCGUUAUCCGGAUUUAUUGGGUUUAAAGGGAGCGUAGAUGGGUUGUUAAGUCAGUUGUGAAAGGUUGCGGCUCAACCGUAAAAUUGCAAUUGAUACUGGCAGUCUUGAGUACAGUUGAGGUAGGCGGAAUUCGUGGUGUAGCGGUGAAAUGCUUAGAUAUCACGAAGAACUCCGAUUGCGAAGGCAGCUUACUAAACUGCCACUGACAUUGAUGCUCGAAAGUGUGGGUAUCAAACAGGAUUAGAUACCCGGGUAGUC